CUAACAGGAUCCCUAGUACUGCGAGUGAAGCGGGAAGAGCUCAAAUUUAAAAUCUGGCGGUCUUCUGGCCGUCCGAGUUGUAAUCUGGAGAAGUGUUUUCCGCGUCGGACCGUGUACAAGUCUCCUGGAACGGAGCGUCAUAGAGGGUGAGAAUCCCGUCCAUGACACGGACCACCGAUGCUUUGUGAUACGCUCUCGAAGAGUCGAGUUGUUUGGGAAUGCAGCUCAAAAUGGGUGGUAAAUUCCAUCUAAAGCUAAAUAUUGGCGAGAGACCGAUAGCGAACAAGUACCGUGAGGGAAAGAUGAAAAGCACUUUGGAAAGAGAGUUAAACAGUACGUGAAAUUGUUGAAAGGGAAACGCUUGAAGUCAGUCGCGUCUCACGGAACUCAGCCUUACUUCGGUUUGGUGUACUUUCUGUGUGGACGGGUCAACGUCAAUUUUGGUCGGCGGAGAAAGGUUGAGGGAAUGUGGCGUUGUUUCGGCGACGUGUUAUAGCCCUCUUCCGCAUACGUCGGCUGGGAUUGAGGACCGCAGCGUGCCUUUAAUGGCCGGGGGUUCGCCCUACGUACCGCGCUUAGGAUGUGGCAUAAUGGCUUUAAGCGACCCGUCUUGAAACACGGACAAGGAGUCUAACAUGCUUGCGAGUGUCGGGUGGAAACCCUUGCGCGUAAUGAAGUGAAAGUGGGAGCCUCCGCAAGGGGGUGCACCGACGCUCGGCCCUGAAGUUCUCUGACGGUGCUGCGGUAGAGCACGUAUGUUGGGACCGAAAGAUGGUGAACUAUGCUGAAUAGGGCGAAGCCAGAGAACUUCUGGUGGAGGCUCCGUAGCGAUUCUGACGUGCAAAUCGAUUGUCAAAUUCGGGUAUAGGGGCGCGAGGCAUUAGUCGACCCAUUCA
rnacentral:rRNA from 1 species